CUCGUUUCUUGUUUUUUUUUUAUAUAGAUUAGACUGUUGGUUUUCCCGUUUGAAUGGUUUUACACAAGUAAUUUUGGGGCCCUUUAUAGCUUGUUGUUCGGUGUGAGCCAAGGCUCCGUGUUGAAGGCCGUAUCUUGACCUAUAAUGGGUUACUUUUAUAAAUUGUUAUUUGGAUGGAGAGUUGUCUCAUUGGCGCUCAUACCAC
rnacentral:lncRNA from 1 species